AUGAAUCAAAACCUUAAGAUUUUGUUCUGGAACGUUCAUGGUCUUAACUGCCCGGCCAGACGCUCGGCCGUUCGCUCCAUGAUCGCCUCGGUCUCUCCGAGUGUAGUCUGUAUCCAGGAGUCCAAGCUCGCUGAUGUUUCCCCUUCCAUGGUUGUUGAGGCGUGCGGGGAUGCCUUUCAGGACUUCUUCAUCCUACCCGCUGAUGGGACGCGUGGUGGCAUUAUUUUGGCUUGGAGAUGCGAUGAGAUCUCGUUGUCCUCCCCUGAUGUUGGCCUAUACCACGUCACUGCCCUCGCCACGGUGCCUGGGCGGGAGGGGCACUAG
rnacentral:rRNA from 1 species